CUUUCAGUGAUUUCACUUGACUUUCGUUCUUCUGAGCAAUCUGAAGCGACUUGUAAAACUUGAGGAAA